AGAAACUUAGGUCAACCGGACCACAAGCUCCAGGCUCAAAAAUAGAAGUUAACCCUUCCAGUUUCUA
rnacentral:tRNA from 1 species